AGUAUAAACUUUUAUAUGGUGAAGCUGUGAAUGGCUCAUUAAAUCAGUUACAGCUUAUUUGAUGAUCACUCCAUAUAUGGAUAACCAUGGUAAUUCUGCCGCUAAUACAUGCGCAUACACCCGACUCUGUGGAAGGGUGGUGUUUGCUAGGCACAGAACCAACCUGGGCUGCGCCCGGCCGUGUGGUGAUUCAUAAUAACUGAGCGAAUCGUACAGCGCCAGCGGGGGAUGAGUCAUUCAGGUUUCUGACCUAUCAGCUUCCGUCGGUAGGGUAUUGGCCUACUGUGGCGAUGACGGGUAACGGAGAAUUAGGGUUCGAUUCCGGAGAGGGAGCCUGAGAAAUGGCUACCACAUCUAAGGAAGGCAGCAGGCGCGCAAAUUACCCAAUCUUGACACAGUGAGGUAGUGACAAGAAAUAACAAUACAGGGCAUCCAUGUCUUGUAAUUGGAAUGAAUAGAACUUAAAUCCCUCUGCGAGUACCGAUUGGAGGGCAAGUCUGGUGCCAGCAGCCGCGGUAAUUCCAGCUCCAAUAGCGUAUAUUAAAGUUGUUGCGGUUAAAAAGCUCGUAGUUGGACCUCUGCCGAGGACGACUGGUCCGCCCUCUGGGUGAGUAUCUGGCUUGGACUGGGCAUCUUCUUGGAGAGCGUAGCUGCGCUUGACUGCGUGGCUCGAUAUCCAGGACUUUUACUUUGAGGAAAUUAGAGUGCUUCAAGCAGGCGUGUGCCCUGAAUAUGUGAGCAUGGGAUAAUAAGACAGGACCUCAGUCCUAUUUUGUUGGUUUCUAGAGCUGAGGGAAUGAUUAAUAGGGAUAGUUGGGGGCAUUCGUACUUAACUGUCAGAGGUGAAAUUCUUGGAUUUGAUAAAGAUGGACUACUGCGAAAGCAUUUGCCAUGGAUGUUUUCAUUGAUCAAGAACGAAAGUUAGGGGAUCGAAGACGAUCAGAUACCGUCCUAGUCUUAACCAUAAACUAUGCCGGC
rnacentral:rRNA from 1 species